rnacentral:rRNA from 1 species
GAGGCUAAUACCGGAUAUUGUCCCAGGGACCGUGGUCCUUGUGAUGAAAGGUGACCUCUUCAAGAAAGUUGUCGUUCAGGGAGGGGCCCGCGUACCAUUAGCUAGUUGGUAGGGUAAUGGCCUACCAAGGCGAUGAUGGUUAGCUGGUCUGAGAGGAUGACCAGCCACACUGGCACUGAAACACGGGCCAGACUCCUACGGGAGGCAGCAGUGAGGAAUCUUGCGCAAUAGGGGAAACCCUGACGCAGCAACGCCGCGUGAGUGAAGAAGGCCUUCGGGUCGUAAAGCUCUGUCAAGUGGGAAAAAAGCUUACUGGUGAAUAGCCAGGAAGCCUGAUGGUACCAUUAAAGGAAGCACCGGCUAACUCCGUGCCAGCAGCCCGCGGUAAUACGGAGGGUGCAAGCGUUGUUCGGAAUUACUGGGCGUAAAGGGCGUGUAGGCGGUGUGGUAAAGUCAAAAUGUGAAA